rnacentral:rRNA from 1 species
GACGAACGCUGGCGGCGUGCCUAAUACAUGCAAGUUGAGCGAUGAAGCUUGGUGCUUGCACCAAUUUGAAGAGCAGCGAACGGGUGAGUAACGCGUGGGGAAUCUGCCUUUGAGCGGGGGACAACAUUUGGAAACGAAUGCUAAUACCGCAUAACAACUUUAAACAUAAGUUUUAAGUUUGAAAGAUGCAAUUGCAUCACUCAAAGAUGAUCCCGCGUUGUAUUAGCUAGUUGGUGAGGUAAAGGCUCACCAAGGCGAUGAUACAUAGCCGACCUGAGAGGGUGAUCGGCCACAUUGGGACUGAGACACGGCCAAAACUCCUACGGGAGGCAGCAGUAGGGAAUCUUCGGCAAUGGACGAAAGUCUGACCGAGCAACGCCGCGUGAGUGAAGGAGGUUUUCGGAUCGUAAAACUCUGUUGGUAGAGAAGAACGUUGGUGAGAGUGGAAAGCUCAUCAAGUGACGGUAACUACACAGAAAGGGACGGCUAACUACGUG